rnacentral:lncRNA from 1 species
AUGACUAAAUCAGAGAAGGACCACAUAAUCCAAGGAUAGGGACAAGGGAAGAGGAUGCUCUGCCAAACUGCCCCUGCUGCGUCAUAGUGGACCAGUUUCAAUGAUCCAGACUGUCAGUCACCCCAUCCAGCCUCAUCCUCAUCUGGACCCAUUUCUCACCACCCAAUCAGUUUCAAUGAUCCAGACUGUCAGUCACCCCAUCCAGCCUCAUCCUCAUCUGGACCCAUUUCUCACCACCCAAUCAGUUUCAAUGAUCCAGACUGUCAGUCACCCCAUCCAGCCACAUCCUCAUCUGGACCAGUUUCUGACCACCCAAUCAGUUUCAAUGAUCCAGACUGUCAGUCACCCCAUCCAGCCACAUCCUCAUCUGGACCAGUUUCUGACCACCCAAUCAGUUUCAAUGAUCCAAACUGUCAGUCACCCCACCCAGCCUCAUCUGGACCAGUUUCUGACGACCCAAUCAGUUUCAAUGAUCCAGACUGUCAGUCACCCCAUCCAGCCUCAUCCUCAUCUGGACCCGUUUCUGACCAACCACCCAAUCAGUUUCAAUGAUCCAGACUGUCAGUCACCCCAUCCAGCCUCAGCCUCAUCCUCAUCUGGACCCGUUUCUGACCAACCACCCAAUCAGUUUCAAUGAUCCAGACUGUCAGUCACCCCAUCCAGCCUCAGCCUCAUCCUCGUCUGGACCCGUUUCUGACGACCUAAUCAGUUUCAAUGAUCCAGACUGUCAGUCACCCCAUCCAGCCUCAUCUGGACCAGUUUCCGACGACCCAAUCUGUUUCAAUGAUCUGGACUGUCAGUCACCCCAUCCAGCCUCAUCCCAGCUCUUAACUCCUUCUGCAUAGUUCAGUUUCCUUUCUGGCAACUAAUUCCCAAUUUCCUAGAAAACCCUGAUUUUCUGAUUUAACACUGAUUCGAAUCCACUUUAAACCAAAGGAAACAGGCCGGGCGUGGUGGCUCACGCCUAUAAUCCCAGCACUCUGGGAGGCCGAAGCAGGUGGAUCACCUGAGGACAGGAGUUCAAGACCAGCCUGGCCAACAUGGUGAAAUCCCAUCUCUACUAAAAGUACAAAAAAAAAAAAAAAUUAGCUGGGUAGCUGGGUGUAGUGGCACAUGCCUAUGAUCCCAGCUACUCGGGAGGCUGAGGCAGAAGAAUCGCUUGAACUCGGGAG